AGGAGUUUACUUAAAUAUUUACACGGAAUGAUUUUGCUAAUUCUGGAAGUUUUAGAUUUAUUGAAAUAGGUUCUUCGGUAAAUAUUUUAAAGAAAAAAAAGCUUUGUUCGUAGGGAAAAUAUUUUAGCCCUGGACUUUUUUGUUCUCUCAAAAUUUUCCGUUCCAAAGACAAAACCUAGCAUUAAUAUCCUCUUUUUCUCUAUUUUUCUGCAGUCCGCCUUCUUGGUUUUUGAUCGAUUUUUUAUUGUUUGAUAUUUAGGUGUAUGGUUUAGAAGAACAAACACUAAAAAUCGAUGAUAUAUCCCUGCUUCGAUCUAUAACAAGAUGAUGCUUCGAUGUGCCAUUGGUUUUCUGGGAGAAAUGUAUCCCGUGCUUGGAAAUCAUUACAUAAAUGGGUCUGGAGGGUAUAAAAGAGCACCAUUAAUUAAUAACAAGAUAAAACACAAGCAAGGUAAGAGAAUCUAAAUGUAACUUGGCAAGUAAUACAUACAGGCAACUAAGUAUGUUUCAAAAUGUCUCAUAUGCGUGCAUUUGCACUAAACAUAUACUUAUAUUAAUUAGAGAAAACAAUAACCUUUCCUGCAUAUCCAUAUAAUACAUGCUUCCAAUACUGUCUCCAUAUACAACUUAUCACUUCAGUUUCUUGAGAGUAUUUGUUCAAACAAUUCUUGCUUCAAAAAUGUAGUGGCUAAAAAUGUAGAGUAUGGUAUGCUUGAAAUGGAUGACGUAUCUAUUGGGGGUUCGUUAAUUUGACACAUGGAAUUCAGAUUGAGCUAAAAAGAAAAAUGCUAGAAUAAGGCUUUACA